GAUGAACGCUGGCGGCGUGCCUAAUACAUGCAAGUCGAGCGAACGGACGAUAAGCUUGCUGCUCUGAUGUUAGCGGCGGACGGGUGAGUAACGCGUGUAUAACCUCCCUAUAAGACUGGGAUAACUUCGGGAAACCGGAGCUAAUACCGGAGAAUAUUUUGAACCGCAUGGUGCAAAAGUGAAAGACGGUCUUGCUGUCACUUAUAGAUGGAUCCGCGCUGCAUUAGCUAGUUGGUAAGGUAACGGCUUACCAAGGCAACGAGGCAUAACCGACGUGAGAGGGUGGUCGGCCACACUGGAAGGUGGACACGGUCAAGGCGACUACGGGAGGGAGCAGUAUGGAAUCUGACGCAAUGGGCGAAAGCCUGACGGAGCAACGGCGCGUGAGUGAUGAAGGUCUUCGGAUCGUAAAACUCUGUUAUUAGGGAAGAACAGAUGUGUAAGUAACUGUGCACAGCUUGACGGUAACGAAUCAGAAAGCAACGGCUAACUACGUG
rnacentral:rRNA from 1 species